AAAUAUAAUUUACGACUCCGGCUACAAAGGAAUCAGAAACUUUCUGGUCAAAAUUUUUGCCAAUACAAAAUAAAUGGCUUCUGCAGUUUAUUGGUAACAUGUAUAAUUCUGAAAAAACAUCGGAUAAUUCAAUAACAUGGAAAGAUGUAGAUCGAAUAAAAAAAUGGGAAUGGAGCUAUCAUUGCCAACUCUUAACGGAGUGUAUGGUGAUCGAAACAGAGCAACUGCUUCGCAGCAUAAAUAUUGUUGGAAUAGACAGACACCAAUAGACAGA